rfam:Lupinus angustifolius cultivar Tanjil chromosome LG06, whole genome shotgun sequence.
AACCCAUGAUUAAGGCAUUUUCUGAGCAUGGACUUGAAUCUAUCCCAUGCCUCACAUAGACUUUCCCUAGAAGGCUAGAUAAAGGUGGAGAUGGCAGUUUUUAAGUCC